GUUUGUAGAUGAUGCUAGCUUAUGUCAAGU
rnacentral:piRNA from 1 species